GAAUGAGAGAAAUAGAAAAUCGACAUUAGGCAAACACCACGGUAAUACCUGUCCCAAACAAGAGCUACCGAUGAUUCCUCAGAUUAACAGCCAAAAGUUUUGAGACAGCUUAUUACUCAAAUAUCUCCCCCAAGAUAUUUUUUAAUUACAAAGGGAUUAGUAGUAACUUCAUGGUGGAGAAACUUGACCAAAAUACCUUAAACAAGUGAUGUCGGCAUAAGAUAGAACACUGUUGACGUUGAGAAAUGAGACAGAGUACAUGGGAACCCCAGACCAUACAAAACACAGGCAGUGAAGAUGAACUCACUGCUCUCGUGGGCCAGGUGAGCAAGGGGCCUUCAGAACUGGGGCUGACGCUGGCGUCUCAGAGUGGCUGGGGUGGAUGGGCUGCUGUGGAAUCUCUGCUGCCCAAGCUGUCUCUACUGGCUUGGCAGGUACGAGUGCCGUGAGCAGGGACAAACUUGGCAACUGGGAGGAACAGCAAGGAGGCAGCACAGGAGCUUACAGAUGAGUGAGAGGAGGAUGGUGAGAGGCGAGAUCAGACACACAGCGUGAGUCAGACCGUCAGGACCACAGCAGGAGCGCUGGGCAGGCUCUCCAUUGUGGUGCUCGGGCAUCUCUCUAGCUGCCCCGUGGCACAUGGGGUCCUAGUUCCCUGACCAGGGGUCAAACCGGCAUCCCCGGCAUCCCCUGCAUCGGAAGGCAGAUUCUUAACCACUGGACCACCAGGGAAGCCCCAGAUCGUCCUCUUGAUGUCUGGGAAGAGUUUAACGAGACCGUUGAGAUCUGGUCCACAGACAAACCCAACUGUGCUUUCCGUCUGCGUGUUUGUUGCUAGUGCAAAGGUGGAUUCUGGCAAACUCCAUCAGUCAGUGAUCUUACCAAGGAAAUGAACAGAACUUAGCUGCUAAAUGUCCUCUGAGCCCGUGUACACAACCCUGCAAAUAAAGAAAUGGAAGCAGAAGCCUCUUAAGAAAGUCCCCACAAGAAACCUGUCCUUGUUGCAUUCAGAGAAAAGACAUUCACAUGCUGGUCUGCUGUCAAAGCUUCUCUCUCAGAGCUGACGGAGGAGUGCCCGCCUCUGGUCUGGAAAUUCAUCAGGGAUGAGACCGGAGAGACAGCCUGCCCGAAGACAGAGCUUUAUGUGCUUCUCUCCAGCCUUUGAAGGGCCUCUGAAGAGGCCACAAGCGGAUGGACUGGUGCAGCUGGCUGCGCGACGCUCCUUGCAGCUCGUGACAGUGACCCAGGAACAG
ensembl:lncRNA